CAAUAGCGUAUAUUUAAGUUGCUGCAGUUAAAAAGCUCGUAGUUGGAUUUCGGGUGGGAAUGGCCGGUCCGCCGUUUCGGUGUGCACUUGCUACGCCCACCUUGCUGCCGGGGACGUGCUCUUGAGUUCACGCUCGGGACACGGAGUCGGCGAGGUUACUUUGAGUAAAUUAGAGUGUUCAAAGCAGGCCUACGCUCUGAAUACAUUAGCAUGGAAUAACACGAUAGGACUCUGGCCUAUCUUGUUGGUCUGUAGGACCGGGGUAAUGAUUAAGAGGGACAGUCGGGGGCAUUCGUAUUUCAUUGUCAGAGGUGAAAUUCUUGGAUUUAUGAAAGACGAACUACUGCGAAAGCAUUUGCCAAGGAUGUUUUCAUUGA
rnacentral:rRNA from 1 species